rnacentral:tRNA from 2 species
GUCCCCAUCGUCUAGUCUGGUCAGGACGCUAGCCUUUCAAGCUGGAAACACGGGUUCGAAUCCCGUUGGGGGCA